UCUAUCGACAAUACGCAUGCGCAUCACUUCAGCGUGAAUUGCACCCGUCGCGUGCUUUUGAUCUUUUCACCUAAAGCGUGGAGUGUGCACUGCAGGCCAAGCCCGUGCUAUUGUGAUUCCUGUUAACUUUUCUGACGUCUCUUCGCCCGUCUAACUAGUUUUCACGUCUGUUGUACCCUCCCAGGUUGUUGACCAGCCAUGGAAAAGGUUCUGCUUUUUAUUGGAGCUGUGUUAGUGACGAUCUUUCCUCAAUCAGAUGCAACUGUAAAGUUGCCAUCAACAAGUGCUGUAUUCCAACAAACAAGGUCAUACCAGAUAGCCUGUUUUGUGACAGGAGAAGAAUUUGUUGCUUGGGUAACACCA